UUUCGAGCUCCUGAAGUAUUGCAUCUUUGUUGGUCAACCCACCCAUGCUUGCAUUGAGAGCUUGCAACAUCUCCCCUAAAAUCCUUUGGUCAUCAAAGUUAUCAGAGACACAAACCCAUAUUUUAAGAUCAAAAAACCUUUUUGCCAUUACUUCUUGACAAACCAAUUUAGCUAAGGUUGUCUUUCCCAGACCGCCCAUCCCCACUAUGGAAACGAUGGUAAGAACUUGUUGGCCAUUGGAACAGUUCAACAUGUUCACAAUUUUAGAGACAUCAGCUUCCCUCCCCACAACUGGGUCGUCGAGGAC
rnacentral:misc_RNA from 1 species